rnacentral:lncRNA from 1 species
UAAAGUUAAUAACUGAGUCCGGUUCAUUUCCUUUUUGACUCGCACGUGGAGGUCAAGAAGGUGCUGCAGUGUGUUUUGAAACCCCAGCCAUGAGCUAAUUGACUUUAUGAGGCGAUAACCAAGCUUGUACAUGUGUCAUAUCACCGUGCGUCUUCUAUUUUUGUCAGCUGGGGAUGAGCAUCCAGAAAAAAACCCUGUAUCAGCUCGACGGCGGCCAAGCUUUAUUUAAGGACGUUCCGCUUAAGAAGGAAGAGUGAGCCGUGUCCACGAGGGUUUGUCUGAGUGCCCGUCUGAUAGCAAGUCCAGGAAACAGGUGGGGGGGUGACUGUGCACUACCAUUCUAUCCAACGUGAAGGGAAAAGCACUGCGCCGGCUCCACCGCCUGAACUGUGUUUAGCCCAGAGCCGAACGGGCCAAGUGAAGGAGAGAGCAGGUCACCGAAUCUGCUGGAGUACAUCCUUCAUCCUCAGAGCGGAGGCUGCAGCAGCAGAGGAAAGUGAUCACUUCUGACAGCCCCGAAGCUCCAAAUCCUGACUCUAACAGAGGUUCUG